rnacentral:rRNA from 1 species
GACGAACGCUUGCGGCGUGCUUAACACAUGCAAGUCGAACGGAAAGGCCCUGCUUUUGUGGGGUGCUCGAGUGGCGAACGGGUGAGUAACACGUGAGUAACCUGCCCUUGACUUUGGGAUAACUUCAGGAAACUGGGGCUAAUACCGGAUAGGAGCUCCUGCUGCAUGGUGGGGGUUGGAAAGUUUCGGCGGUUGGGGAUGGACUCGCGGCUUAUCAGCUUGUUGGUGGGGUAGUGGCUUACCAAGGCUUUGACGGGUAGCCGGCCUGAGAGGGUGACCGGCCACAUUGGGACUGAGAUACGGCCCAGACUCCUACGGGAGGCAGCAGUGGGGAAUAUUGCACAAUGGGCGGAAGCCUGAUGCAGCAACGCCGCGUGCGGGAUGACGGCCUUCGGGUUGUAAACCGCUUUCGCCUGUGACGAAGCGUGAGUGACGGUAAUGGGUAAAGAAGCACCGGCUAACUACGUGCCAGCAGCCGCGGUGAUACGUAGGGUGCGAGCGUUGUCCGGAUUUAUUGGGCGUAAAGGGCUCGUAGGUGGUUGAUCGCGUCGGAAGUGUAAUCUUGGGGCUUAACCCUGAGCGUGCUUUCGAUACGGGUUGACUUGAGGAAGGUAGGGGAGAAUGGAAUUCCUGGUGGAGCGGUGGAAUGCGCAGAUAUCAGGAGGAACACCAGUGGCGAAGGCGGUUCUCUGGGCCUUUCCUGACGCUGAGGAGCGAAAGCGUGGGGAGCGAACAGGCUUAGAUACCCUGGUAGUCCACGCUGUAAACGGUGGGUACUAGGUGUGGGGUCCAUUCCACGGGUUCCGUGCCGUAGCUAACGCUUUAAGUACCCCGCCUGGGGAGUACGGCCGCAAGGCUAAAACUCAAAGGAAUUGACGGGGCCCCGCACAAGCGGCGGAGCAUGCGGAUUAAUUCGAUGCAACGCGUAGAACCUUACCUGGGUUUGACAUGGAUCGGGAGUGCUCAGAGAUGGGUGUGCCUCUUUUGGGGUCGGUUCACAGGUGGUGCAUGGCUGUCGUCAGCUCGUGUCGUGAGAUGUUGGGUUAAGUCCCGCAACGAGCGCAACCCUUGUUCACUGUUGCCAGCACGUUAUGGUGGGGACUCAGUGGAGACCGCCGGGGUCAACUCGGAGGAAGGUGGGGAUGGCGUCAAGUCAUCAUGCCCCUUAUGUCCAGGGCUUCACGCAUGCUACAAUGGCUGGUACAGAGAGUGGCGAGCCUGUGAGGGUGAGCGAAUCUCGGAAAGCCGGUCUCAGUUCGGAUUGGGGUCUGCAACUCGACCUCAUGAAGUCGGAGUCGCUAGUAAUCGCAGAUCAGCAACGCUGCGGUGAAUACGUUCCCGGGACU